UACGUAGGGGGCUAGCGUUGUCCGGAAUCAUUGGGCGUAAAGAGCGCGUAGGCGGCUAGAUAAGUCCGGUGUGAAAGUCACAGGCUCAACCUGUGAAUGCCGCUGGAAACUGUCUGGCUAGAGACCGGGAGAGGUGAGUGGAAUUCCCAGUGUAGCGGUGAAAUGCGUAGAUAUUGGGAGGAACACCAGUGGCGAAGGCGGCUCACUGGACCGGAACUGACGCUGAGGCGCGAAAGCGUGGGGAGCAAACAGG
rnacentral:rRNA from 1 species